rnacentral:lncRNA from 1 species
GGCAUGAUUUUCUCCAGGAAACUCCAGAUAUUUUUACAUACGGCUUAUACAUUUGUCUGCAUUGUGAACAUCUUUUUUACUAAAUUAUACUGGAAUGAUCUUGUUCUCAUUUUGUUUUUUUCCCACUGUACUAAAAUCUUUUGAAUCUAAAUUAAAAGGUUGCCAAGAGCUAAAGUGUUAGGAGUCACCAAGGAAACAGGACUUGGAUUGUUUCAGGAUAGUAGGAUUUGAAUGGGAGAAAAAAGAAGGAUCAGCUCAGGCCAGGGGCUUACAAUUAGAAGGUGAAGCAAAAUGAAAAUAGACUCGGAUGAGCUUAGAAAUAAUGAGACUGGCAGGAUUAGAAGGUGAAGGGGCUUAGGGGAAAAUUGAGAAUGGCCUGUGGAUACAGGGUGCGCUGGCUUGGAUACCACAUUCAGACAAAGUAUCUGCCUGUGCUGCUUCCCACUCAGUCUCUCCCUGCUUGGCAAGUAGUGUGGACUCUUCUAGAAGGCUAUCUGUACCCUGCUGAAGGCCACUUUUUCUGACUACCAGCUCUAGGAAGGCUUUGCUCUCA